AUCGUCAGAAGGUUCCACUUACUGCAGAACUCUGUCUCCAGAGAGCGUGGAUUCUAACUAGUUUUUUUCCACCUCUAAAAAAGUGGCUAGCUCAUCAUUAUUGUCCUCAUUUUUUAGGAAGGAACCACAUGUGAAACCACUUACCUGUUUAACCCUAUGAACUUGAAGAGAACAUGUAAUGCCACUUAAAAUACCUAAGCUCGGGUUCUGCCUUCAGCGACUCCUGGUAGUAGUGCCCUUAUGAGCCAUUUAUCAAGAAGGCUUUAAGAUACAAGAUACUUCAAUGAAUAAAACAAAGACCUUUGCUUUCCUGAAACUUGAGAUCAAAUGGAGGACACACAAAAACAACGCACCUACAAAUCACCAUAUUGUGUGUCAGGAGCCUCUAGGUUACCCUCAUCCAUAGGAAUCACAUCUGCAUUCCUGUAACUGCAUAAGGAGAAAGAAGGUGGAAGCUGAGGAUGCUAUGAAAACCCCUUGAGGAAACAAAGGCACCUUGGGGGCCAUUGAGAACUCCUGACGAAGAGGGCUCAGCUGCCAGACCUGCUCAAGAAAGACCUCAGAAAUCUCUAUGGGGCUGUCAGAAGAAAAGGUUUGAAAAGGGUCUGGAGAGACUGAAAUUUGUCUGCCUUGGACUUUUCUUUUGACAAUUCACAUCCAACUUAAGCAGAAUCAUUGUUUAUUCUUAUUAUGCCAGGUUUCCUUUUCUGGUCUGCAGGUUCUCUAGGGUUUCAUAGGCUAGUAGUUGGAAUUUUCAUAUUUCCAAAGCAUUGGGGAUUUUGCAAAAACAAAAUCUAAAGGAUAUUCAGCAGCACAGUUUACUUAGGAGGUUUUAAUCAUAAUAAUCUGCAUAAUGUAUGAGAAUUUCUACCUCAGCUGCCUCCUUUCUUUCUCUUUCGUGUCUGGGAAAAAGCCAGGGAUUUUUCCCUUCCUCUGAUUUAAAUACCUUAUAAAAUUUUGGUGGAAGCAUUUUGUCCUAUUCUGUCUUCCUGAUUCAUUUUCUGCUGUAAUGAGCAAAAUUAAUUUGCAAGAGCUGCUACUGACAUAGUGUAAUAAACUGGGUCAUAGGUAGAAUCAGUGCCGCCUUAUGACCCUUAGCUGUCAUUGCUUUAAGGAAUUUGGCAUGGUCCUCGAAGGCCAGAAGGCAAUGUGGGUUGCAUCCUACAGCUUUUGAGAUCUCAGAGACUUACUGCACCCAUGGCUGGGAAUGAACUGUAAAUGCUGACACUGGUAACUAGGUGCCAAACUGAAGUGAUCACAACCUAAUCUGAGCCAAAAGGCAUUUCUUUGCAUCAGGCAUAAAGCAACAUCAAACUCCCAUAACCCACACACAACACAGAAAUCAUUACUGAAGAGAUUCAACAUCAUCAUGCCAGACACUAAGUGAGUUAUUUCUCUCCUUCCCUGUCUCACCACAGUUUCCUCCCACUUGGUCACACAUGGUAAGCAUUCAUGUGUGCGAAGGCAUUUUAUGCCUUCGACCUAACCCCGACCACAGUCCCCUAGUCUUAUCAGAGAUCUGCACUCCCCACCAUUUGAGCACGAUGGAGUGCAUAUUUCCAGUGCAAAAAGACUGAUAUCAUUAUGAUUUUCAUUAACUAGUUGCCAGCUUGCAUUCUUUUUUCUCCCUUUUUUUCUCUCUCAACAGCACUUCUGUCCUCAGCCCAACCCCAGCCAGAAAAGGUGUUGCUACAUUCAGUGAAAAAUUAUUAUUAGUAUAGACAUGAAAUUUGAUGAUAAUGUAGAUUGUUUUGUGUCAUCUGCAGGCUGUCACAAUACACUCUGCAUCACUGAAAUGUGUUGACCAGAAGGAUGAUGGUGUUGUCAUGAUACUGAGGUCUUUUAAUUAAUUACUUUGUGACUUUCAUAGCAUUUAGAAAACGGAGAACAGGGUAUUUUCUUGAACAGCCUAGCCAAAUGAAAAACUGGUUACUAAUGUAUGUUAUCUUCAUGAAUGAAGGCAUAAAAUAAUAAAAACAAACAAAUUAAAAAUUGUUAAUAAAUUAAUAACUAAUAAAAAUAAAUAAAAUAAA
rnacentral:lncRNA from 1 species